UGGGGAAUAUUGCACAAUGGGCGCAAGCCUGAUGCAGCCAUGCCGCGUGUGUGAAGAAGGCCUUCGGGUUGUAAAGCACUUUCAGCGGGGAGGAAGGCGAUAAGGUUAAUAACCUCAUCGAUUGACGUUACCCGCAGAAGAAGCACCGGCUAACUCCGUGCCAGCAGCCGCGGUAAUACGGAGGGUGCAAGCGUUAAUCGGAAUUACUGGGCGUAAAGCGCACGCAGGCGGUCUGUCAAGUCGGAUGUGAAAUCCCCGGGCUCAACCUGGGAACUGCAUUCGAAACUGGCAGGCUAGAGUCUUGUAGAGGGGGGUAGAAUUCCAGGUGUAGCGGUGAAAUGCGUAGAGAUCUGGAGGAACACCGGUGGCGAAGGCGGCCCCCUGGACAAAGACUGACGCUCAGGUGCGAAAGCGUGGGGAGCAAACAGG
rnacentral:rRNA from 1 species